rnacentral:rRNA from 1 species
GACGGAGGGUGCUAGCGGUGUUCGGAAUCACUGGGCGUAAAGGGCGCGUAGGCGGCCCAUGCCGUCGGCUCGUGAAAGCCCGGGGCUCAACCCCGGAGGUGCGGCCGAGACCCAUGGGCUGGAGGCCGGAAGAGGAGGGGUGAAUACCCAGUGUAGAGGUGAAAUUCGUAGAUAUUGGGUGGAACACCGGUGGCGAAAGCGGCUCUCUGGUCCGGUUCUGACGCUGAGGCGCGAUAGCGUGGGGCGUAAACAGG